rnacentral:rRNA from 1 species
CCCUUAGAUGUUCUGGGCCGCACGCGCGCUACACUGAUGCAUUCAGCGAGUCCAUCCUUGCCCGAAAGGGCUGGGUAAUCUUUUGAAAUUGCAUCGUGAUGGGGCUUGCGGGUUGCAACUACCCGCACCAACGAGGAAUUCCUAGUAAACGCAAGUCAACAACUUGCAUUGAUUACGUCCCUGCCCUUUGUACACACCGCCCGUCGCUACUACCGAUUGAACGGUUUAGUGAGGGCCUCGGAUUGGUCUCGGCCCGCUCUUUACCGGGCGGCGCCGUUGGUCGAGAAGACGCUCGAACUUGAUCGUUUAGAGGAAGUAAAAGUCGUAACA